rnacentral:rRNA from 1 species
GAGUUUGAUCCUGGCUCAGGAUGAACGCUGGCGGCGUGCUUAACACAUGCAAGUCGAACGAAGCGCCUUAUUUGAUUUUCUUCGGAACUGAAGAUUUGGUGACUGAGUGGCGGACGGGUGAGUAACGCGUGGGUAACCUGCCCUGUACAGGGGGAUAACAAUCAGAAAUGACUGCUAAUACCGCAUAAGACCACAGCACCGCAUGGUGCAGGGGUAAAAAACUCCGGUGGUACAGGAUGGACCCGCGUCUGAUUAGCUGGUUGGUGAGGUAACGGCUCGACCAAGGCGACGAUCAGUAGCCGGCUUGAGAGAGUGAACGGCCACAUUGGGAC